GGCAUUUCUGGAAAUUCAAUUCUCGGUUUUUGAAAAAGUCUGGGGGAAACAAGACAUCUUAUUGUUAAAGUGGAAUAAGUUAGCAUAAGGCAGCAGCCCACUUUUAAGAAAAGCUGGUUUGCAAACAGGAAAGAAUAUUUCAAAACAGAAAGGUUGUCUAUAAAACAGCCAUCUGAAAUAACUGCACGGCAAUCACUCAGACAGGGAGAGGCGGCACCAGGAGCCAACAGCAAGAGCCAGGAGGCUGCACCAGCAAGCAGGCCCUACGCACACUGUAGCUUCUGCUUCCUUUUACCAAAAGUCAGGAGAAAGGCACACGUUCUUCAGAGUGGAGUUGCUGGCAGUGUCAGAACAUGAGCAGGCCUUAAGUCUCAAGGAAAACUCACAAAGUAGAAGAGAUCCCAGAAUGGAAAUACUAAGGUCGGGACCAGAAGAGGUACACAAUCACCCCACAGAGCCAAGAUCAAAGACACUCUGGAUCAGAGAGGACAAGUCCAGAGGGCGACCAGAGUUCCAGCUCAUUGAGUGAAAGAGGCCGAAGCCAGAGCAGCAAAGGAACAUGUAACACAAAGCAGCUGUGGAACACGUGAUAUGGAGCUUUGGAGAUUUUACCAGCAGGUAUCAAAUAACAGAAGAAACGGAUUCCGAACCCUUGAAGACUAGAACCGUUGGUUCCAAUCAGAGGAACACAAGCUUCAGAAUAGCAUGUCAACCUUUCAAGGUCCUAUGCUCACAGAACGGGUAACGCACAGCCUGCUUCUGAUGCCCUUCCUGUUGGAUCAUUUAUGCCAUAGUACAGUGUGUGGAAGAAAGUCUUUGAACUGAAGUCAGCAGCCUAAAUUUGCCAUAUUGAUCAGUGCUGCUCUCACCCUUGGCCAGAGAAGCGUCUCCCUGCCACAGGCAGCAGUUAAUGCAGAGACUUCAAACUAGGCAUGGUGCUGAGAAUAAGUCACUGCUGGGUGCUCAGCCCUAAAUGGGACAUCCGUAUUACCCUCUUCCCUUCAAGGUUCAAAGAACAUCAUGGAAAAGAGUACUGACAGAAUAUGAGGCCGGAGGACAGGGCUUCUGUGAAAUGCCACCUUCUGCACAUUGUCUUCAGAACUCACCACAGCUAUUGUUAGCUGGCCAAGAUCAAUUCCAAUUUCCACAUGCCACUGCCAUAUUAAUGAAUAAGAACACUCCAGUGGACAAGAGCUUUUCAAACACUGUAUUUUCCAGUUACAAGCACUUGCUGCUCUUGCAGAGAACCUGGGUUCAAAUCCCAGCACCCACAGCUGCUGUGGGAUGUUCUGUAUGGCAAAUGUGUUGCUGAUUGGUCAACAAAUAAAACACUGAUUGGCCAGUGGCCAGGCAGGAAGUAUAGGCGGGACAAGGAGGAGAAUAAAGCUGGGAAGUGGAAGGCUGAGUCAGAGAGACACUGCCAGUCACCACGAUGACAAGCAGCAUGUGAAGAUGCUGGUAAGCCAUGAGCCACGUGGCAAUGUACAGAUUUAUAGAAAUGGAUUAAUUUAAGCUGUAAGAAAAGUUAGCAAGAAGCCUGCCACGGCCAUACAGUUUGUAACCAAUAUAAGUCUCUGUGUUUACUUGGUCAGGUCUGAGCAGCUGUGGGACUGGCAGAUGAGAGAGAUUUGUCCUGACUGUGGGCCAGGCAGGAAAACUCUAGCUACAAAUGGCGUCCAAAGUGGUGGCAAGAGUUUCCAUCUAAAAACUGAGAAAAAAGAUUCUAAAACGGAGCUAAAAACAGCUUCCUAAUUGUCUCUCUCAAAUGAGCUGCAGCUGCCGGUUUUAGCUACUGGUGGGUUCCUAUCCUGCGCGCUUGGCCUGCUGUAUGGUGGGAAUGAGGCCUCUGCAAGUGGCACAUUAAGCUGCAUGGUGGAUUUAGCCUUUGCUAGUACAAAACAAAAAAAAGAGGUUUUUGGACUACACGCUGCUUGGAUAAAAGCAUAGACCCACGAUAGCUCCCAGAGCUGAUGGUAAACUACUGUUGCCUUGUUGGAAAGCUGAGGUGGGCGGAGCCAGCAGCCACAGCUGCUGCAGU